UCUGAGGUGUAAGAGCUACAG
rnacentral:siRNA from 1 species